GGCUGGUUUUGUAUUCAGGUCUUCCUACCUGCCUUAAAUGAUGUCUAUAUUAGCAUUUUCUAUCCACCUAGGCAACCAGGUGGCACAGUGGAUAAAGUGCCAGUUUGGUGUUUGGAAGACUCAGCUUCAUGAGUUCAAAUCUUGACUCAGACUUGUAAUAGUGGUGUGACCCUGGGCAUGUCAUUUAAUACUAUUUGCCUCAGUUACCUGACCGGUAAAAUCAUCUGGAGAAGAAAAAGGACAAAGUCCCUGGCUGAGAGUACAAGAACAUUCCAAGGAACCAAUGGAAGACUGAGAGUACUUCCAUCAACCAUCAACAACUUCUACUACUGUGGAAAUAGAAAUGGAUUUGAAUUCAAAGAUUUGUGUUUAAAUCUUGGCUCUGAUUCUCCCUAUGUAUGUAUGUAUGUAUGUAUGUAUGUAUGUGUAUAUAUAUAUAUAUAUAUAUAUAUGACUAUGAGCAAAUUCCUUCACCUUUCUAGACAUCACUUUUUCCUCUAUAAAAUGA
ensembl:lncRNA